UGACCCUUGUUUUUUCUAAUUUCUUUUUAUUUUCUGAAUUUUCAUUUAAUCCUUUUAUUUUGUUUAAUUCAUAUUAAUUUCAUUUUUAAUCCAAAAAUAUGGGACUUUCACCAAAAAUCUUUAAAUAUUUUUCUCUUCCAUAUUCUGAAUUAAAAUUAUUUUUUUGGAUUCAUUUUUAUAUUUUUCAUGAAUUCAAUGUUUU
rnacentral:lncRNA from 1 species